rnacentral:rRNA from 1 species
UACGAGAGGCCCAAACGUUAUUCGGAAUUACUGGGCUUAAAGAGUUCGUAGGCGUCGCAGAAAGUAGGGUGUGAAAGCCCUCGGCUUAACCGAGGAAUUGCGCUCUAAACUACUGUGCUUGAGGAACCUAGAGGUGAGCAGAACUGAUGGUGGAGCGGUGAAAUGCGUUGAUAUCAUCAGGAAUACCGGAGGCGAAGGCGGCUCACUGGGGGUUUUCUGACGCUGAGGAACGAAAGCCAGGGGAGCGAACGGG